AACGAACGCUGGCAGCGUGGAUUAGGCAUGCAAGUCGAACGGGAUCCGCGAAGUAGCAAUACCGAGCGGUGAGAGUGGCGGAUUGGCGAGUAACACGUGGGCAACCUGCCCUGUGGUUGGGGAAAACCUCGGGAAACUGAGGCUAAUACCCGAUGAGACGUCUGGCGACAUCGCCGGAGCGUGAAAGGGGGCCGCAAGGCUCCCGCCAUGGGAUGGGCUCGCGCAUCAUCAGCUUGUUGGCGGGGUAACGGCCCACCAAGGCUUACGAUUAGCUGGUCUGAGAGGAUGACCAGCCGCACUGGGACUGAGAUACUGCCCAGACUCCUACGGGAGGCUGCAGUCGAGGAUCAUUCGCAAUGGGGGAAACCCUGACGAUGCGACGCUGCGUGGAGGAAUGAAGGCCUUCGGGUUGUAAACUCCUGUCAUGAGGGAAGAGGCGAGGGGUGUCAACACCACCCUUAGUUGACUGUACUUCAAGAGGAAGGGACGGCUAACUCUGUGCCAGCAGCGGC
rnacentral:rRNA from 1 species